rnacentral:rRNA from 1 species
GGACGAACGCUGGCGGUGUGCUUCACGCAUGCAAGUCGAACGAGGUAGCAAUACCUAGUGGCGGACGGGUGAGUAACGCGUGGGAAUCUGCCUUUAGAUGGGGGAUAACGGGUCGAAAGACUCGCUAAUACCGCAUAUGACGAAAGUUGAAAGGAGUAAUCCGUCUAAAGAUGAGCCCGCGUCCGAUUAGCUAGUUGGUAGAGUAAAAGCCUACCAAGGCGACGAUCGGUAGCUGGUCUGAGAGGAUGAUCAGCCACAAUGGGACUGAGACACGGCCCAUACUCCUACGGGAGGCAGCAGUGGGAAUUUACGCAAUGGGCGAAAGCCUGACGUAGCGACACCGCGUGAGCGAAGAAGCCCCUUGGGGUGUAAAGCUCUGUCAGCUGGAACGAAAAAAUGACGGUACCAGCAGAGGAAGCAUCGGCUAACUACGUG